rnacentral:tRNA from 1 species
UCCCUGGUGGCUCAGUGGUGAAGCGUCUACCUGCCCUGCAGGAGACACAGGUCCAAUCCCUGUUCUGGGAA